GAGCUGAAACAAAAAAGUAAUGUACUGGAACAAUACAAGAAGAAUUCUGAGCGUGUUCAAGCAAGUGAAUUUCGAUAUAAAGAGGAGCUGAAACUAAAAAGUCAUGAACUGGAACAAAGCAAGACAAAUUCUGAACACUUUCAAGCAAGUGAAUAUCAAUACAAAGAGGAGCUGAAACAAUGCAAAGAGGAACUGAAACAAAAAGGU